GCUGCGUUUGCCAGUUACGGGUCUGUGUUGUCUGCCAUGUCAAUAAGUAGCCUUCCUCAGUAGUGAGAAAUACCAAAAUUGGUUAUAUUUAUAACAGGAAGCUAACAGUCAAGGGAGAAAUCUGCUUAGUGGGAAGAUAGAAUCAUUAUACAUAAAAAGGUCGUGCUUUAGAGAGGCUCACACAGGGAAGCUGUGUUUCUGAAGUACUGUUGAAUAGUUGAAGACAUUUAGUUUUAAGGAUGAGAGUUUGUGAACAUCUAUAUUAUUUUUCUUCAUUCCUCUUUAAUUAUCCUUCUCAAAAUUGGGAAUUUACUGCAUUUUAGUCACAUGGCUGGUAGGGCAAAGUUCAUCAGAGUUGGCUUGCUGUCACCUUCCUAAAAACUGAGAACAGUCUUUGUGUAGCAGGACAAAACACUGUUUUUAGCUCUUCAAAAUGGAGAGUGAAGAAACAGGAGAAAACACCUUGACAAAACAUUAAGUAAACUUAUCUUUUCUGUGUCUCAAGGAAAGCAGUUAGUCAUAGACAGUUUAGGAUAGCUGUGGUAGAUUGGAGUUAGGGCAGAAGAAAUCAAAAUAGUAAGUUUUGUUUUGUUUUGUUUGGAAGAGGAGGGCAGCUGAAAGUCAAAAACUGUAGAUUAGUGGGAACAUGGGGAUCCAGCCACCAGAAAACCCAGGGUCUUGUUUUGGUCACUAGACAUGAACAGUUUAUCAACAUCCAGUACUUAACUCUGUCUCACUUGAGAAACAAUUGGUUAUACUGGUCUAGGUUGGAGCAGGAGUUGGGUAAGACAGCCGAUGAACAUUUCCAUUGCUGUUUUUAGACCUAGUGAUAAGAGGGACCAGUGAGAGAGGCAGAUAAGGAGAGCAUGGGAGUUGGGGUGGCUGGGAGUGGGUGAGUGUAGGCAGUAAUCUCAGCGCAUGAGAGGUAAAGUCAGGACUUUCAUCCUUAGUUAGAUAAGUGAGUUCCAAAGCAAUGGAGAGCUCGUCUUACAAAAGAUAGAAGAGAGAGAUGGAGAACAUAAAUCUUCCUCCUGGUUGGAGAGUAUCUGUGGUAGGACAGUGGAGUAGUGUGGAGCUUAGUGUGACUGAGGCAUCUCAUUUUGGCAUUGACAGUGGAGUAGUGUGGAGCUUAGUGUGACUAAGGCAUCUUAUUUCGGCAUUGGAGCACCAGGGCCAUAGGAAAUGGCUGCAGAUAAGAAAA